UCACUUCUAGGUCGACAGGCGUCUGCAGU
rnacentral:sRNA from 1 species